rnacentral:lncRNA from 1 species
CGCGCCUCCUGUGCCGGGUGCUGCCCCCGGGGAGGAUGUCCCUGCCGACCCCCACCUCGUCGGCCGCCGCUCCUGGCCCGGGCCAAGUGGAGCUCCGGGAAAGGCAGGAAUCUGGGUGACCCCAUCCAAAUCCCACCAAGUCCGGCGUCCGCCGGAAAAUGCCACCACCAGAACCAGAGGAGUCGAGAGGUCUGAUAAACCGAAGGAGGAAAAACCAGUUGUUCCCGAGGAGGAAUCUCCCCAGAAACUUUUGAAUCAUUACAAAUCCCGGGAACGGCGAUGCUUUUGCACUUAAUAGAAACUAAAACAACGCCGAGGGCAAAGUCAUGUCAAAACAACAAAGUAUCGUGAAGGGCUUGGCAACAGUUACCAUGGUGUUCUCAGGGAUGUUUUUGAGGUCCAGCCUCUGGAUCUGUUUUAAUGCAGAAGACUUCAGGCUCAAGAGCUUCUGGCUUGGUAGUUUUUGCGGAUUCUGAAUUAACUGACAUUAAAGAUAAAAAUCAGCAUUAUAAAUAUAGUAAAACACAAAGUAAAAAUCAAGGGACACAUGACACAAAUCACUGACUCCACUGUCUCCUUCACCGUCCUGAAAAACCUGUGAUACAACCUCAGAGAGGUUGUAUAGUUAAUUCUGAUCUUCCUUUGAAGGUAUGACUUUUCCUCCCCUUCUCCUU